rnacentral:rRNA from 1 species
AGAGUUUGAUCCUGGCUCAGGACGAACGCUGACGGUGUGCUUUAGACAUGCAAGUCGAACGAGAAAGCCCUUCGGGGUGAGUACAGUGGCGAACGGGUGAGUAACACGUGGGUAACCUGCCCCUCGCAGAGGGACAACCGGGGGAAACCCCGGCUAAUACCUCGUACGCUUGCCGGGCCGCAUGGCUCGGUAAGGAAAGGUAGCUUCGGCUAUCCGGCGAGGGAUGGGCCCGCGGUCCAUUAGCUAGUUGGUGAGGUAACGGCCCACCAAGGCGACGAUGGAUAGCUGGUCUGAGAGGACGAUCAGCCACACUGGGACUGAGACACGGCCCAGACUCCUACGGGAGGCAGCAGUGGGGAAUUUUCCGCAAUGGGCGAAAGCCUGACGGAGCAAGACCGCGUGAGGGAGGAAGGCUCUUGGGUUGUAAACCUCUUUUGUCAGGGAAGAACACAAUGACGGUACCUGAAGAAUCAGCAUCGGCUAACUCCGUGCCAGCAGCCGCGGUAAUACGGGGGAUGCAAGCGUUAUCCGGAAUUAUUGGGCGUAAAGCGUCCGCAGGUGGCUAAUCAAGUCUGCUGUCAAAGGUUGGGGCUUAACCCCAAAAAGGCAGUGGAAACUGAGAAGCUAGAGUGCAGUAGGGGUAGAGGGAAUUCCCGGUGUAGCGGUGAAAUGCGUAGAGAUCGGGAAGAACAUCGGUGGCGAAAGCGCUCUACUGGACUGCAACUGACACUCAGGGACGAAAGCUAGGGGAGCGAAUGGGAUUAGAUACCCCCGUAGUCC